rnacentral:rRNA from 1 species
AUGCACGCUGGCGGCGUGCCUCAUCCAUGCAAGUCGAGCGAACAGAUGAGGAGCUUGCUCCUCUGACGUUAGCGGCGGACGGGUGAGUAACACGUGGAUAACCUACCUAUAAGACUGGGAUAACUUCGGGAAACCGGAGCUAAUACCGGAUAAUAUAUUGAACCGCAUGGUUCAAUAGUGAAAGACGGUUUUGCUGUCACUUAUAGAUGAAUCCGCGCCGCAUUAGCUAGUUGGUAAGGUAACGGCUUACCAAGGCGACGAUGCGUAGCCGACCUGAGAGGGUGAUCGGCCACACUGGAACUGAGACACGGUCCAGACUCCUACGGGAGGCAGCAGUAGGGAAUCUUCCGCAAUGGGCGAAAGCCUGACGGAGCAACGCCGCGUGAGUGAUGAAGGUCUUCGGAUCGUAAAACUCUGUUAUUAGGGAAGAACAAAUGUGUAAGUAACUAUGCACGUCUUGACGGUACCUAAUCAGAAAGCCACGGCUAACUACGUG